CAGAAUUGAUCAUAUGCAUUUCAAGAUUUUAACUAAAUAAAUAUUAAUAUCAAGACGGAAAUAAUAAAUAUUAUUGAUAUUAGGAUGAGUCAACUUCGACAACCAUACAUGGAAAAUAGAGAAAAGAAAUAGAAAGAGAUCAAACUCAAGACAUAUAAGCAACUACAGGAAAUCAAGAGACACAAACAAGACCAGACUUAAACAUCAAUCGGUUGAUCUUAUAUUUUAACUAAAUUAAAACACACAAAGAAAAACUUCUCAAUAGAGUAAUCCAACGACCAAAACCGAGACGGAGGCGAAGAUAGUAGGGAUAAACGAGGAUGCAUCGGAGGUAGGACUCGGUGCAGGAGCGUCAACCGCUGCAGCCGACUGUUN
rnacentral:lncRNA from 1 species